GGGCGGAUAGCUCAUUUGGCAGAGCGCCGUGCUGAUAACACGGAGGUGCCGGGUUCGAAUCCCGGUCCGCCCACCA
rnacentral:tRNA from 1 species